rnacentral:lncRNA from 1 species
UGUGCUGCAUCGAGUGGUUUGCCUUCACCCCGCUUUCAGCUUCAUUUUAUCUUUGUCUUGGCUCAGGCCGCCGUAACAAAGCACCAUAGACUGACCAUAGGCUUAUAAACAGCAGAGAUCUGUGUCUCACGGUUCUGGAGCUUGGAAGUCCAAGAUCAGGGUACCAGCCUCUUGUCGCUGCACCCUCAUCACGAGAAACCAGGAGUGUUUCCCUCCAGGACCUCCAGGUGCCGUUCAGACCUCAAAGCAGCCAGCGCACCUCCUAGAAUUCAGUCUUCAGACCCUGUCCGCUCCCCAGGGACGGAGAGUGGGACCGGAAGUUCCAGGCUUCUAAUCGUGGUUUGGUCUUUCUUCUGAGCAGCCCCAGCCUGAUGCUUAUCCGGGCGCCACCAAGAGGCACCCUUAGAACAAAAGACUGUCCGAUCACCCGGGGAAGCCCCGAGGAGUUUAGGGGCUCUGUCAGGAAUGUGGGCCAAAGAUCCUAUUUCUGUUUCUCACUGUGUCACACUAAUAAAGCAAAUAUCCAUGAGCCACAGCAAGUUGAAGAAGUAGGAGCAGCCAGUAUCUUAGAAGUCCUUCGUGUGUCUCUUCUGGAAGUGCCUGCAGACACCACUCUCUUGCCUCUUGUGACCGUCCCUUCCUUGGGUACCCUUACGUGUUUCCGUCUUAUGCGUGUGCCCACGAACAAGUGUACCUGGUCUGGACCUCAUGUCAAUGAAGUCAUACUGUCAGUGUUUAUCCUUGACGUGCUUCUUUCAUGAAACACCGUGAGGCUUAUCCCAGGGGACGAACGUAGGUGUCAUUCGGGACUUUUCACUGCAGAGUAGUAGUCCGUCCUGUAACUAGGUAUCUCGUAUCUAUCUUGCUGCAUAUUGUUUUCAACGUGGAUUGCAAAGUUUGCCUGGGUAUGUUUUUUUAAUAAGGAUUUGUAUUUUUUUCUAUUUUCGUUGGUUUACAGUGUUCUGUCAGUUUUCUGCUGUACAGCAAAGUGACCCAGUCUCUCUCUCACACACACACACACACAGAUGAGAGUUAUUUUUAAAAACAUGUAUUUUCGUGACCAGAAAAAGACUGGAGAAAUUCAAGACUCCUUUGGUUUAUUCUACUGCCACACCUCCCUGGAGGCAAGUCGGCGUCUAGACUGCAGCGACAAUCAUGAGACCUUAACCACAGCAUCAGGGGCAGGGAGUGGGUGACCGCUGUGCACCCUAGAGACUGCCAUUUGGAAACAGACUAAAACCAGGACCUUGGACUCUGGAAUGAGGCAAGGAGGAAACAGCGGUGACCCCGGGCACUGACGUGAUGGUGGGGGGGGGGUGGCAGGAGACCGCGCAUGCGCCCAGCCAGCCCCAGGCUCCCGCCCUCCCUCUCCUCCAGCACCAGCCGACAGCGUCCACCAGAUGUCGGCCCCGCCUCACCUACAGUCUGUCCAACACGAAGUUCAAACCCAUCCCCCCAGUAACCCCCCCCCCUCCGCCCUGAUGUGUGCUCCUCCUUGUCCCUGGUGCCAUCACUGCUUCCAUUACUCGGGCUCCGAAACCAGUUGCCUUUGCUUUGCUUCCUCUCUCUCCCACUCCCUCGUCCCAUCACCCGCCAGGCUCCUGCCUCUGCCCUUAGGAUCCCUCCGCCUCGCAUCUCGCCGCCACCGUCACCUGCCUCCCGCCGCUUCCCCUCUUCAGUCCAGUCUGUGCACAGAUGCCAGAGGAGCCUCGCAAAGCCCCGCGUUCGUGUCCCGCGCACUAGUGGUGAUGACGCCGCCAUCACGCAGCGUAUCCGAGCCUAGUAACCUUGGAUGGACCUUCAAGGGUCUUCAAGAUCUGGUCCCAGUUUAUUCCUGUGCAAAUUGAUUUCUAAGCUAAAGCCGUCCACUUAACCGAAUUUGUCCUGAAUAUUACAAAGAUCUUCAGGAAACUCAAUUCACAGAUGGUCCUGAUUUUGUGAACUUGUCCCCACUUCCAUCCAAUCCCAAAUACAUGCCCUUUUCUUCCUCAUGGGUCGUACUUUCUCGGCACAGUAUCUCCUGGAAUUGCCUGGGUUGUCUUUUAAAGCUUAGAAACUGAUCACAGCCCAGGGGACUGUCCUUUUGUAUCUUCGUGCUCAGCCACCACCAUCUGCAAGGCCCUGGGCCAAGGGUCCAACUUGAACGUGCGGCGUAGCAGGUUAAUAGAAUUUAUUACUUAAAGAGCUGCAAUAGGUUGAAAGAUAACUGAAUCUCAAACACUUGAGGAAAAUGUAAUGAAUGAUAAGUGAUUAAGACUGUUAUUGUAUCAUUUACACACAAGAGUCCUGAGCUUAGCAACAUGCAGAAGCAUAAAGCUUUCCACAGACCUUCAAAGUUUCAGGUCUAACACCCUUCAUUUGUAAACUCAAAACCGGGCUCUGUUUUCCAGCAUGUUGCAACUUGUUUUGACUUGCAGCAGCGUUAAUCUCAACAUUGUCUGAGUUAAUCUCCUUCUAGCAGCCUUGAAAAGUAGAAGAAUGUAUUAUUAUGCAUUGGCUUAAAAGAAAGUACCAUUAUUUGGAGCAAAGGAUGUCAAAGAUUAUGGCAAGUGAAAGUUUCACAUAAAAUGUAAAUGUAUACAGAGGGAUUUGACUGGAAUGAAAUGACAUCAAAAGUGAGAGUGUGGCCUUGAAAAUUCAACAAGGUAUAGAAGACAUCAAUAACUAUACAAGUAACAUCAUGACUGUGGAAAAAAGUCAGAGCUCUGAUUCCAGCAGCGUGCCCAGGGCUGGGAAAAGAGGUGACUUUUGAGAGCAAACCAUGUAUUCUGCAGGACAACCUGAACACAAGCAGGACUCAGAAAUCUGUGCUAUGAAUUUGAGUGACGAGUCGAGAAGCCAGAGGCUUAGCGUUUGUUCCAGUCUUUCAAAGGAAACUGGACAAAAAGAGCGGAUUUGAGGAAAACAGUAAUUGGCACUGAAAGGUAGUGUUUUCUCAGUGACCCAGAAACAAAGUGUCAAAGUUUGCCCUGGAAAAUUACAACCUUCCCAAUAUGCCCCAGAGCACACAUGUCAGAAUCAGAAAGAAAAACACUGCUUUGUCCCUUUGCCAUCGGUGCAACUGUUCCAACCUGGGGGUCAAAAGUCCGUCUGUCUUGUCACACACACGCUGAGGGGCCCCAGGACCCUCACAAAGCGGGGGAUUGAGCAGGGUCCUUAUUACGCCCAGGACCCAACUGAAGGGGAGCUUUUGGGGAAACAGCUUCUGACCAAAAUCUCUUACCGGAUUUAUCACUUAGCCUUUCCCUUGGGAUGUUCUGUGGAAGGAAGGCUGCUUUGGAGAGGAUGUUAGCAGGUGUUACACGAAAAACUGGAUUUGUGGUCCGUUCAGUUUAGAAGCGCCACUCCAGUAAGUGUUGUUUUGGUUUUGUUUUGGUUUUUCUUUCUUUGGCCAUACCCACAGCAUAUGGAAGUUCCCGGGCCAGGGAUAGAAUCUGAGCUCCAGCUGGGACCUACAUCACAGCUGUGGUAAAGCCAGAUCCUUAACCCACUGUGCCACAGUGGGAACUCCUCUAAUCAUUUUUUUGUUACAUAAUUUAUUAGACUUUUCCAUGUAUAUCGUGAAACUCCAAGACGGGAAAAUGAUGUGCAGUCUCUUCCAAAUAGACCCCACCCCAAAUCCUUUCCCCCUGAGCAACGCGUGGACAGUAUUCCCUGGAAUGUCCCAUAAAGGGCCUUGUUUAAUUAAGGCCUUUCCUCCAAAGGGCUUUUUGAAAAUAUCAAUAAAGCAAAUCCAUCGUAGAGCACAUUAAAAAAAUGAUGAGGUUCCUGUUUUAAUGAGUUGAGAGGAAGAGGGCCACUCAAGGCAGGUCUUUAUUUUUCAUUUACUUAUUUAUUUAUUUUUGAGCCACGCCCAUGGUUUGCAGAAGUGCCUGGGCCAAGGAUCGAACCCAAGCCACAGCAGUGACAAUGCCAAAUCCUUAACCACUAGGCUACCCGGGAACUCCCCAAGGCUGGUCUUUAGAGUGUAAGACGCUCAGUGGGGUAAGUCUGAGUACUUGCACUUUCUGUGAACUGGUUCCUUCACUACCAGCUAAGACAGAGAGAAUGAACGCAGGCAUCUCUUUCUUCUCCAUCCUGUUGUGUCAACCUGCAAGAAGGACCAGAAGCUCAGGAAGCGGGGGUGACAGCAGAGGAGAGGGCUCAACAAAUGCUGUAAACUGGAAACCCAAGGGAGGCUGGUGACUUAGUGGAGAAACAAGCCAUGUCCUGGGUGCCUGCCAAUGGCCAGAAGGAGAAUAGCGUUGACCUACAGGGCCCUCCAACACCCCUACAGGCUCUGGGAGCCCAGGGUCGCCCCCUGGAGGCAGAGGGGAAAGUGGGAGGAGAAAUGGAAGGUUGUCCAGUGUUCCUAAGACCAUCUAAAGCCCCUUCCCCUUUUGUUCCCUCAAACAUUUUUGAGGAAACGUUCAAGCCGGGUGAUCUCCAAGUUCGUUGCCACCAGUAAAAGGGAAGCUAGGUGUGACUGAGUUGUCGGGGGAACAGAGUACCGAACAUGCAGAUUGAUAAAGAACUGCCACGUCCUUUCUAGCAUAGAAUUUGGGAGCUAAAAGACUCGUUGACAGUGCUCUAUCAAAACAACUUCCAAUUCCAUCUACUUAUUUAUGUGAGUGAGAAACUUAUUUAGGUUUCUUGGCACAUAAAUCUCUACAAAUAAAAAUACUGGGAUGAAAAUUCAUGCUGAACUCUGGCUCGUUCUAUACAAAAGGAAUAUUCAUCCAUGGAUACUCAAGGUACUUGAAAAACCAUCUUACCUGUCUCAUUAAGAAAUGUAUUUCCUGUAAAACAGGAUCUUAAUGUUUAUCAAGAUGUUUAAGUGUUGAAUAACGAUUUGUGAUAACUGGAAACAAAAAUGUUUAUAACUUCAAUAUGUAUAUAUAGGUGAGCAUUUACGUAGGUGCGUACAUGCUCUUUUUGCAGAAAGGCAUGAUAAGGUAACAAAUAAUUUUGAAAGGCAAACAUACAUUGGAAUAAAAUUGUGCCGGGGAAGUGGAGUAGAAAUGCUGGCUCUGGAGAGAAAGAAACAAUGUGACCAUUUUGACUUCUAAAGAAGAAAUGCUUCUUGUCUAUUAAAUAUGGGUGGUGAUGGCGGCUGAUACUCCAGGAGAUGAACUCCAGAGACUAAUGCGAUCCGUUUGUAUCGAAAUUUAUUUCGUAGCCCUUUCAACUUAUAACAACAAUUUCAGAUGACAGUUGAAAACUGUGUGAGCAGAUACAUGGUUUUUCAAAAUCCUUUGAGGAGGUU